rnacentral:lncRNA from 12 species
AAAGCAAUGCAAGGAAAACUGGGCUUUCCAUCUGUUUAUGUAGCUAUGUGCUGUGUAAAGCCAGAACGCCUGGCUGGAGCUGGAGAGACACACGACUGUGGCACACGAAGCAAUCCACCUUCCUUCAGUCCUGCUUGCUUCUACCCAGCUGUGCUCGUGGAUUCCUGCAAAGGGAAGAACUCAAAGCUCCUCUGUGCACACACUCAGGCUGGACUUCCACAGCAAGAGAAGAGAGGUCCUGGAGCCUUAAGUAUGGUUUACCCAAAGCCUUGGCAUCACAGCUGUAACUUCAGAAGGGAGAUGAUGAACUUAAGGCAGGUAACAAGGAGCACUUGUACACCUUUAUCUUGUUCUGACACCACACAGACAAAGCCUGACAGCACCAGUCCUCCCAGGCUAAUCAGUGCAACCUUUGGCUCAAGUCCACAGGCAUUUUGCUCAUCCAAGCACCCUCAGGAGGUUACUCAUUAGAGCCCUUUGUUUACAGUGCUGCAUUCACCUCCUCACCAUCUCACAGAGCACACAGAAGAACUAGGAAAGAUUAGGGGAAAAGGCACUGUGGAAAGUAACAAGUAAAAGACAAAUUCCGGACAAGAAGAAACUAAAUAAAUUAGGGCAUGCCAGCUGGCUAAGAGAGGACAGAAUCAAC